ensembl:ncRNA R151.18 ncRNA
AGAGACACUUGAUGUCCGAAUGGUAUAUGCAAUGGCUAUGUAAAGACAAAUAAAAGAAGGUGGAGACU